CCGAGUUUACAACUCCCAAACCCUUCUGUGAACCUACCUAUCGUUGCUUCGGCGUGAGGUCCCGGGCGCCGCGUGCCCCGGAUCAGUGCCCGCGCCGAGGACCCCAAACUCUUGUAUUCUACAUGUUUCUUCUGAGUGGCGCACCGCGCAAACAAAUAAAUCA
rnacentral:misc_RNA from 1 species